AAGUGGGGAUGACGUCAAGUCCUCAUGGCCCUUAUAGUGGGGCUACACACGUCAUACAAUGGCUGGUACAAAGGGUUGCCAACCGCGAGGGGGAGCCAAUCCCAUAAAGCCAGUCGUAGUCCGGAUCGUAGUCUGCAACUCGACUACGUGAAGUCGGAAUCGCUAGUAAUCGUGGAUCAGAAUGUCACGGUGAAUACGUUCCCGGGUCUU
rnacentral:rRNA from 1 species